UCCGGUUUGUCACCGGCAGUCCCAUUAGAGUGCCCAACUGAAUGUGGCAACUAAUGGCAAGGGUUGCGCUCGUUGCGGGACUUAACCCAACAUCUCACGACACGAGCUGACGACAGCCAUGCAGCACCUGUGUCCAGGUUCCCUUUCGGGCACCCCCCAAUCUCUCGGGGGUUCCGACCAUGUCAAGGGUAGGUAAGGUUUUUCGCGUUGCAUCGAAUUAAUCCACAUCAUCCACCGCUUGUGCGGGUCCCCGUCAAUUCCUUUGAGUUUUAAUCUUGCGACCGUACUCCCCAGGCGGUCAACUUCACGCGUUAGCUUCGUUACCAAGGAAUUACUUCCCCGACAACCAGUUGACAUCGUUUAGGGCGUGGACUAC
rnacentral:misc_RNA from 1 species